ACACCUGUCUCCUUUGCCCACA
rnacentral:miRNA from 1 species